UGGGGAAUUUUGCACAAUGGGGGAAACCCUGAUGCAGCGACGCCGCUUGAUUUAGAAGGCCUUCGGGUUGUAAAAAUCUUUUCUAUGGGAAGAAAAGGACAGUACCAUAGGAAUAAGGACCGGCUAAUUACGUGCCAGCAGCCGCGGUAAUACGUAAGGUCCGAGCGUUGUCCGGAAUCAUUGGGCGUAAAGGGUACGUAGGCGGGUAAGCAAGUUAGAAGUGAAAUCCUAUAGCUCAACUAUAGUAAGCUUUUAAAACUGCUCAUCUUGAGGUAUGGAAGGGAAAGUGGAAUUCCUAGUGUAGCGGUGAAAUGCGCAGAUAUUAGGAGGAAUACCGGUGGCGAAGGCGACUUUCUGGCCAUAACCUGACGCUGAGGUACGAAAGCGUGGGUAGCAAACAGG
rnacentral:rRNA from 1 species